rnacentral:tRNA from 1 species
UGCGGGGUGGAGCAGUCUGGUAGCUCGUCGGGCUCAUAACCCGAAGGUCGUAGGUUCAAUUCCUACCCCCGCCACCA